AACGAACGCUGGCGGCAUGCCUAACACAUGCAAGUCGAACGAGACCUUCGGGUCUAGUUGCGCACGGGUGCGUAACGCGUGGGAACCUGCCCUUAGGUUCGGAAUAACUCCCCGAAAGGGGUGCUAAUACCGGAUAAUGUCUUCGGACCCAAGAUUUAUCGCGUUUGGAUGGGCCCGCGUUGGAUUAGCUAGUUGGUAGGGUAAAAGCCUACCAAGGCGACGAUCCAUAGCUGGUCUGAGAGGAUGAUCAGCCACACUGGGACUGAGACACGGCCCAGACUCCUACGGGAGGCAGCAGUGGGGAAUAUUGGACAAUGGGCGAAAGCCUGAUCCAGCAAUGCCGCGUGAGUGAUGAAGGCCUUAGGGUUGUAAAGCUCUUUUACCCGGGAUGAUAAUGACAGUACCGGGAGAAUAAGCUCCGGCUAACUCCGUG
rnacentral:rRNA from 1 species